GACGAACGCUGGCGGCGUGCUUAACACAUGCAAGUCGAACGGAAAGGCCCUGCUUUUGUGGGGUGCUCGAGUGGCGAACGGGUGAGUAACACGUGAGUAACCUGCCCUUGACUUUGGGAUAACUUCAGGAAACUGGGGCUAAUACCGGAUAGGAGCUCCUGCUGCAUGGUGGGGGUUGGAAAGUUUCGGCGGUUGGGGUUGGACUCGCGGCUUAUCAGCUUGUUGGUGGGGUAGUGGCUUACCAAGGCUUUGACGGGUAGCCGGCCUGAGAGGGUGACCGGCCACCUUGGGCCUGCGAUACGGCCCAGACUCCUACGGGAGGCAGCAGUGGGGAAUAUUGCACAAUGGGCGGAAGCCUGAUGCAGCAACGCCGCGUGCGGGAUGACGGCCUUCGGGUUGUAAACCGCUUUCGCCUGUGACGAAGCGUGAGUGACGGUAAUGGGUAAAGAAGCACCGGCUAACUACGUG
rnacentral:rRNA from 1 species